GUAUAUGUCUGCUCAUCUGGCAAUCUUAGGACAUCACUGGAUGGUUUUGUUUAAAAAGAUUACAGAGUUAACACACACUUCCAGCAUGAAGACCAGCCAGUUGCCUCACCUGUCCUGACAUUGUUAAAGUACUUUGUGACAGUGAAAAGACAUGGCUUUAAAUUACUGUAUCAGAGAUCAAUCCAGGUUAUAAAUCUGAGGAAAACAAUAAAGCAUCACUUCGAGCUACUUAUAUCACUGCCUUAAUAAGUUGUCUGCAUGUGUAACUAACAAAGGACAGUGACCAGUUGUACCUAUGAUAUCAGAGGGCAUCCUGAAAAACACUCAUCACUAAGAAUAGAAAACUUCAAAUGACUUUUGUAUCAAUCCUUUUGAAUUUCAUCUGGCUUGGAAUUUCAGUAGCCUUUAGCAUCCUUCAAGCAUUUCAUGAAGUACAUGUACCAAUUUGCAGGUAUAAAAUGUUUGAAACAGAUUGCUUGUCCCAAAUAAAAAAAAAUAAAUUCUCUGCCAAUUAA